GGGGGGGUUAAACACCAUUCUGAAUCAUUAAAACAAAAAAAUGUGUUUGAGGAAGUUGGUUGUUUUUUGUAAUGUUCUCUUGAUUUUUAUCAUUUUUUUAGCUUUUCAAGUGGCUGCAAGGGAAUUACUUGAGCAUUCCACCACUGGUGUCACAGAUAAGAUGGAUAGGGAGCUCAAACAAACCAAUAAUUUUGAUGAUCCCUGGGGCCACGGUUAUAUUCACAAUUGAAGAUCCUAAUCUUACUGUUUGGUGUGCUAUUGAGCCCUUUGUGGUUCACUACUACUCUUUUCAUAUAAUUGUAAGAUGGUACUUUGUAAAACCAUGAUGGGUUAUUAUUAUGAAUAAAAUUCAACUCAAGGGUUUCCAUGGCUCUUGUUUUUAAUUUGUUUGUCCCCAUCCUUUGGGCUAGGUUUUGUGUUUCCUUUCCCUGUUUGGUUUCAUGGAAAAUAUUUGUAACAAUAUAAUAAUGAAAUAUAAAGUAAAUGGUGGGAGAAAUUCUUAAUUUCAGAU